rnacentral:tRNA from 1 species
CAGAUAGAUACCGAAUGGUUAGGUGCUUUUUUUGGGUAAAAGAAUUAGUUAGUUCGAUUCUAGCCUAUCUGA